GCUUGUCUCAAAGAUUAAGCCAUGCAUGUCUAAGUAUAAAUGUUAUACAGUGAAACUGCGAAUGGCUCAUUAAAACAGUUAUAGUUUAUUUGAUAAUCGAAUUUACAUGGAUAACCGUAGUAAUUCUAGAGCUAAUACAUGCAUCAAACCCCGACUUCUGGAAGGGGUGUAUUUAUUAGAUGGAAACCAAUGCGGGGCAACCCGGAUUCUGGUGAUUCAUAAUAACUUUCGGAUCGAUCCUCGGAUCGAUGCAUCAUUCAAGUUUCUGCCCUAUCAGCUUUGGAUGGUAGGGUAUUGGCCUACCAUGGCUUUAACGGGUAACGGAGAAUUAGGGUUCGAUUCCGGAGAGGGAGCCUGAGAAAUGGCUACCACAUCCAAGGAAGGCAGCAGG
rnacentral:rRNA from 1 species